rnacentral:lncRNA from 1 species
UGUUUUUUCACCCAUCUCUCUCUCUCAUACACACUUAGCACCAUCCACCACCAUCCGCCCCACCCUACACCACCAUCCUGUCAUCUACCCCACCACCAUCCUCCGCUGCCAUCCACCCGACCACCAUACUCCCCUGUUCAAGAACCACCAUCCUCCUCUGUCAUCUACCUCACCACCAUACUCCCAUGUUCAAGUACCGCCACCACCACCACCAUGGCUCCCUUAUCAACCACCAACAGGCACAGCAGCUACUUCAACCACCACUACGGCCACCACAGGAAGUGGUCUUUUUGGCUUUAGUUCUGCAACGGUAGCGGCAACUACUUCAACAGCCACAACCACCAUCACCGCCGCAGGAAAUGGUCUCUUUGGCUUCUGUUCUCCGGCAGCAGCGAUGGAGUCAAAACCAGGCAAAAUCGUUGCUUUUUCUUUAGGGUUUUGAUUUUGGGGAAAAUGGGGAUGAGGGGUUUUGAUUUUGGGGAAAUAAAAGGGGAUGGUGAUGGUGAUCAGGUGGUUGCGGUGAGAAUGAAGUGGUGGUGGCUGUGGUGACAAGGUGGUGGUGGUGACAAGAUGGUGGUGGCGAUGGUCCAAAGGUGGUGGUGGUUGCGGUGAGAAUGAAGUGGUGGUGGCUGUGGUGAGAAGGACGUGGUGGUGGUGAUGGCUGUGUUGAGAAGGCGGUGGGGAACGAUAAGUGAGAAUGGUGGCGGUAUGUCACACCCCGAUUUCCACGUGUCUCACCGGUGGGCCCGGUGGGGGAUUACCGUGACGAUGUUGGCAACAAUAUAGUCAAACCACACAAUUAUAUAACGCACAGCGGAAGCUUAAGAUAAAUAUAUAAACUUCAACCUCUGAUUGUAAUAUCAAAUGUAUUACAGAAGUCGAAUGUAUCCACAGCGGAUCAAAAUAAAUAAAUAUUGUUCAUUUAGAUACGGCAUCGAGUUUGCGAGACUAUUCAUGAUGCUUAGGCAGCUAAUACCAGCCAAUUUCGUCUAGCACCUGCACUUAAUCUUUUUGGGGAAAAUACGUCAGUUUACACUGGUAAAUACAUUCAACUGACACAUUUGAAAAUGUUUAUUAAAAUUGUUUUGAAUGCACAAGGCACAAACUCUUUUAUAACUUGGGAAAAUUAUAAUAAAAUCUUGUGAACGUU